UCCAAAAUCCCGGAAACCUAACUCUAAUUUUUCCCCUUUCCCCAGCUUCUAAACGCAGCCCCACCCCCUUUCUUCCCAAACCUAAUGCUGAAACGGAAUCAGACAGGGAGAGAGAGAGGAAAUCAGGGUGUGAUCCAAGCAGCCACCGUUCAGUCGCCAGAGCCGCCGCUGGGGGUUCUCCGCCGUCACUAUCGUCCUCAUCCACGCGAGCUGCAGCGCUGCGCGGCCCAGCCAUCGUGACCUCCGUGGAGUCCGCGUCGCUGUCGCCUCGGCUGCUUCCACCGCCGCUGGAUCCGUCGCGCGCGCCGUUGUCUGAGGAGCCACCGUCGUCCUUGCUCUUUGUCUCCCUUAGAGCCGUCACCGUCGCCGGAGUUACCACCGCCGCGUGCCACCGCCGCUUCUCACCGCUGAGGGGAAGCUUUGUCUAUGUUGCUGCCUCAGUCGCCGGUGAGUUGUGCACCGCCACCAGUGUCGAAGACAGCGCUAGCUUUGUUCUGAUUUCAAUUCUCUUAUUCUUGAAAUUUCGUUGCUGGUUUACUGUUCGAAAAAGGCAUACUUGAUGCUGGGAUCGUUGUUGUUCUUGCUUCGAAAGAAUUGAUGUCACCGUUGCUGCUGUUUGGCUGAAGCUGAGACCUUUCACCAUCACUAGAGCUGCUCAGAAUCAUCAUGGUAGCUGCUAAGAGAGCAGAACGGAUGUUAGAACUGCCAAUGGAGCUGCUGUGUUUAGUAAUUUCUGCGAGUUUCGACAUUGAGGUAGGGGAUUUAACGUUUUUAAUUUAGAAUGCCUACAAAGUUAUUGGAUAAGUGCAAAUGGUUAAUAAUAGUUAAGAAUUUCUUAAUUGAUAAGAAUGACUUGAAAUGUGUUCGAGAAUGGUUAGCUAUUGUGAUUUUUCUGAGUUAUGAUUUGAAUUAAAUGUGGCUGUGAUUACUUUGAAUUAUAAUUGAAAUUAGAUGCGGUUGUGAAAUGUGACUGAAUUAUUGAUUCUGCGAUGAAUUGGUUGAGAUUCUGAUUUUGAGUGAAUUAUUGACUUGUUUGAUGUUGAAGGGGAUAUUUGAUGAAUGGGAAUGGCUGUGAAUGUAUGCUUUUGUUAUGAGAGAUUGGUUGGUGGGAUUAAGUUUGGAAUGAGGUUGUGGGAGUAAGGUUGGUGUGGUGUUAAAACUGAUUCUGAUUUGAGGCUGUGAAGUGUGAUUUGUGAGCCAUGAUUGAAUUGUUUGAAAGUGACUAAUUAUUCGAAUUCCUGGUUAUGCGGAUUUCAUGAUUUAGUUGUGAAAUUGAAAUGUAAUUGAUGAUGGUGGAUAUUGUUGCAAGCCUGUUUGAGAAAUUAUUGGUUACUUGAUAUGUUAAUUUGACUGGAUAAUAUUGUACUGAGUAUUGAACUGAUUCAAGCUUGAGCUCGGUUUGGAAUUGUUGUGAUAAUGGUUUAAUUGUGACUGCCUUCUGAUUAAUUCAGAGUUAUUGGAAAUUCAGAUUUUAGUUGAUUAUGUUGAGUUGGUUGUUAUUGUUGAUUUAAGUCUAAUUAGAGUUGAUUUUGAGGACGGUUAAAGAAUUGACGGUUGACCACUGAACUAUUUUCUUAAAAUAUGACCUUUAGAAUGAAAUGGUAACUUUGCUAAUAACUAAGUAACUUUAAAAAGAACAAGAAAUAUGAAAAGUUGUUGUUGAGACUCAAUUUUGAGAAGUUUGAAUUAAUUAUAGAACUAGUUAUGAUUUUUCAAAGUUAAAGUGUAAAACUUGAUUUUUCUGCAUUAUGUUUAAAAGAAGCCGGACACUUUGAAAAGCUAUAACUAUUUCUGUGAUUAUCGGAAUUGUGUGAGACCAAGUCCGGAUUAAGCUUGGGAAUAUAGGGAACUGGACUGCUGAAUUUGAGGCUUUUUCACUAAGUUUAUGAUUUAUGGUGAAUUUUUGAGUCAUGGGUGUCAAAUCUGGUUUUCUGCAGAAUGCUGAACACAGCAGCAAAUUGAUUCCUCUAUUGAAAAUUCUGUAGUUUGAAUUUUGAUAUGGAACCAAUUUUAAAUAAAACUUUAUUCCUAUUAUUUAAAUGCCGUAAAAUUUUAGAACAAUUGGACUUGUAGUUUUAAAGAUAUGAAUUUUUGAAGGGUGAUGCAUUAUGCAGAAAAAGCCAGAUUCGGUUUUCUUAAAUUAGUAACUUUGGGAGUUUAUAACUUUUGAUCCUGGAUAGAUAUUGAGAUGCAACCAAUUGGAGGUGAAAAUUAAGUAUGUUUAGUAUAUGUGAUUUAAAUUUUAGGAUUUUCCAUGUUUUAAUAAGUGAGUUAUGGGACUUGGAAGAGGUUGUGUUCAAUGAUUUGUAAAACAAAAUUCUGCAGAAAAUUACCUAACUUCCAAGCUAUGUAACUCCUUCAUUAAAAAUGGUAUGACCCUGGAACCAAUUGAGAAAGAAAUUUGGAUGAGUUAUGUUUAACCACAUUAAUUUUGAAGGUAGUUGGAUUUAAUUUGGAUUUUAUAUGAAAUUUCAAAUGUUGUAUGGUGCUGCUGUCUGCUGGUUUUAAAACACUGCAGAACAGUCCCGAUUUUGCUUAUAUUCCUGAAGCUAGAGUCAGAGAAAAAUUAUGAUUUUUGGUUUAAUAGGAAGCUUAAUCCGAGACGGUCACAUGGAUAUAAAGUUUGCGUGAUUCCGAAUUCAUUUGAUAUUUUAAAAACAAAAUGGAAAUCAGGCUGCCAAGUUGUGUUGGCAAUUAUUUUGGAAAUGGAAUUUAAGAAAUAGAUUUUCUAUAUUAUUAUCAAAUGUUGUUGAGAAUAUAUAUUGUUGUGACAACUGCUGAAAGAGGCUGAUGAAAUGUUGAGAAAGAAGGAACCCGUAAGGGUGGCUAAGUCCUAUUUUUAAAGGGGAUUAUGUCCAAAUUUUUAUAAAAAUAAGGACUUAACCAAAAUCAAUAUUUAAGACUUAUCUAAUGAUAAUAACUUCAAUGAUUCUUUUAAGAAAAGAUUAUUUGGUAUACGAGAUUAUUGGCAAGGACGUGGGUUUUGUCCCGCUUGCGUAUUUAUGAUUAUAAAAGAGAAUAAAAAGCAGAGGACCUGUUGAAAGGUCAUUUGUUGCUUGAUGCAACCCAAGAGAUAUUGAUUUGUUGCUUGAGGCAACUCCUGAGAUGUUUAUGUGAUGAUCUGCUGCGUGAAGGCAGUCAGAUAGAUGGUGGUACGACCACUGAGAACGCUUUCCUGGGAUACCUUGCUAUAAUGCUUUGCUGUAAGACAGAGGUUGCUUACAGAGGUAUCAAGAUUAGAGUGCUCCUGUAAGACAGAGGUUGCUUACAGUGAGUGUGUUGUUGCACCUGUAAGACAAAGGUUGCUUACAGUGUGUUGGGCGUAUAUUGGCUAAUAAGUGCCGCCCUGCAAGACAAAGGUUGCUUGCAGUGGAUACCCUGCAAGACAAAGGUUGCUCGCAGUGGUUAUUGCCAACAGGAAAGCCUUAUCCAGACAAAGGUUGCUGGGUAACGUCGGGAGCGGGUAUGUAACCGACAAAUGAGCUCAUUACCUGCACUAGGGAUAGACAUGCAUCAUCCUUGUGUGUGCAUUUGCAUUUGAUUGGGUUUGCUCGUUGUACUUCUCUGUGAUUGUGCUGUUUGCCUUGUUGUGACUUGUUUGUGUGCUAAAUUGAAUCUUUUGUUAGUGCUAUUAGUUGGUGAUUGUAUGAUGAUGAUUAAGAAUUGAUGUUGUGAUUGAAAAUUAUCCCUGAGGUUGAAAAAUGUAUAAAGUGACCAGUUUUAUAUUUUGGAAUUUGUUUUGAGCUUAGAUUUUUGGAAAGAGAUAAAUAAUUAGUAAAGUAAAACCAAAAGAAUAGUAUUUUCAAAAAGAGUUUGACAUAAAAAUAUAGUUUCCUUGAGUAUAUUAAUUAUUUGCAUUCUAUUUCAUUAUUUUUACGGCAUUCCCAUUCCCUACUGAGAACGUGUGGUUUGUUCUCACCCCCAAAUUUUCCACCCUUUCAGUGACACAGGUACGAAGAUUCAGUUUAAAGCUGCGGGCGAUUCUCGAAUUUAAUUACGACUUCUAAACGCAGCCCCACCCCCUUUCUUCCCAAACCUAAUGCUGAAACGGAAUCAGACAGGGAGAGAGAGAGGAAAUCAGGGUGUGAUCCAAGCAGCCACCGUUCAGUCGCCAGAGCCGCCGCUGGGGGUUCUCCGCCGUCACUAUCGUCCUCAUCCAUGCGAGCUGCAGCGCUGCGCGGCCCAGCCAUCGUGACCUCCGUGGAGUCCGCGUCGCUGUCGCCUCGGCUGCUUCCACCGCCGCUGGAUCCGUCGCGCGCGCCGUUGUCUGAGGAGCCACCGUCGUCCUUGCUCUUUGCCUCCCUUAGAGCCGUCACCGUCGCCGGAGUUACCACCGCCGCGUGCCACCGCCGCUUCUCACCGCUGAGGGGAAGCUUUGUCUAUGUUGCUGCCUCAGUCGCCGGUGAGUUGUGCACCGCCACCAGUGUCGAAGACAGCGCUAGCUUUGUUCUGAUUUCAAUUCUCUUAUUCUUGAAAUUUCGUUGCUGGUUUACUGUUCGAAAAAGGCAUACUUGAUGCUGGGAUCGUUGUUGUUCUUGCUUCGAAAGAAUUGAUGUCACCGUUGCUGCUGUUUGGCUGAAGCUGAGACCUUUCACCAUCACUAGAGCUGCUCAGAAUCAUCAUGGUAGCUGCUAAGAGAGCAGAACGGAUGUUAGAACUGCCAAUGGAGCUGCUGUGUUUAGUAAUUUCUGCGAGUUUCGACAUUGAGGUAGGGGAUUUAACGUUUUUAAUUUAGAAUGCCUACAAAGUUAUUGGAUAAGUGCAAAUGGUUAAUAAUAGUUAAGAAUUUCUUAAUUGAUAAGAAUGACUUGAAAUGUGUUCGAGAAUGGUUAGCUAUUGUGAUUUUUCUGAGUUAUGAUUUGAAUUAAAUGUGGCUGUGAUUACUUUGAAUUAUAAUUGAAAUUAGAUGCGGUUGUGAAAUGUGACUGAAUUAUUGAUUCUGCGAUGAAUUGGUUGAGAUUCUGAUUUUGAGUGAAUUAUUGACUUGUUUGAUGUUGAAGGGGAUAUUUGAUGAAUGGGAAUGGCUGUGAAUGUAUGCUUUUGUUAUGAGAGAUUGGUUGGUGGGAUUAAGUUUGGAAUGAGGUUGUGGGAGUAAGGUUGGUGUGGUGUUAAAACUGAUUCUGAUUUGAGGCUGUGAAGUGUGAUUUGUGAGCCAUGAUUGAAUUGUUUGAAAGUGACUAAUUAUUCGAAUUCCUGGUUAUGCGGAUUUCAUGAUUUAGUUGUGAAAUUGAAAUGUAAUUGAUGAUGGUGGAUAUUGUUGCAAGCCUGUUUGAGAAAUUAUUGGUUACUUGAUAUGUUAAUUUGACUGGAUAAUAUUGUACUGAGUAUUGAACUGAUUCAAGCUUGAGCUCGGUUUGGAAUUGUUGUGAUAAUGGUUUAAUUGUGACUGCCUUCUGAUUAAUUCAGAGUUAUUGGAAAUUCAGAUUUUAGUUGAUUAUGUUGAGUUGGUUGUUAUUGUUGAUUUAAGUCUAAUUAGAGUUGAUUUUGAGGACGGUUAAAGAAUUGACGGUUGACCACUGAACUAUUUUCUUAAAAUAUGACCUUUAGAAUGAAAUGGUAACUUUGCUAAUAACUAAGUAACUUUAAAAAGAACAAGAAAUAUGAAAAGUUGUUGUUGAGACUCAAUUUUGAGAAGUUUGAAUUAAUUAUAGAACUAGUUAUGAUUUUUCAAAGUUAAAGUGUAAAACUUGAUUUUUCUGCAUUAUGUUUAAAAGAAGCCGGACACUUUGAAAAGCUAUAACUAUUUCUGUGAUUAUCGGAAUUGUGUGAGACCAAGUCCGGAUUAAGCUUGGGAAUAUAGGGAACUGGACUGCUGAAUUUGAGGCUUUUUCACUAAGUUUAUGAUUUAUGGUGAAUUUUUGAGUCAUGGGUGUCAAAUCUGGUUUUCUGCAGAAUGCUGAACACAGCAGCAAAUUGAUUCCUCUAUUGAAAAUUCUGUAGUUUGAAUUUUGAUAUGGAACCAAUUUUAAAUAAAACUUUAUUCCUAUUAUUUAAAUGCCGUAAAAUUUUAGAACAAUUGGACUUGUAGUUUUAAAGAUAUGAAUUUUUGAAGGGUGAUGCAUUAUGCAGAAAAAGCCAGAUUCGGUUUUCUUAAAUUAGUAACUUUGGGAGUUUAUAACUUUUGAUCCUGGAUAGAUAUUGAGAUGCAACCAAUUGGAGGUGAAAAUUAAGUAUGUUUAGUAUAUGUGAUUUAAAUUUUAGGAUUUUCCAUGUUUUAAUAAGUGAGUUAUGGGACUUGGAAGAGGUUGUGUUCAAUGAUUUGUAAAACAAAAUUCUGCAGAAAAUUACCUAACUUCCAAGCUAUGUAACUCCUUCAUUAAAAAUGGUAUGACCCUGGAACCAAUUGAGAAAGAAAUUUGGAUGAGUUAUGUUUAACCACAUUAAUUUUGAAGGUAGUUGGAUUUAAUUUGGAUUUUAUAUGAAAUUUCAAAUGUUGUAUGGUGCUGCUGUCUGCUGGUUUUAAAACACUGCAGAACAGUCCCGAUUUUGCUUAUAUUCCUGAAGCUAGAGUCAGAGAAAAAUUAUGAUUUUUGGUUUAAUAGGAAGCUUAAUCCGAGACGGUCACAUGGAUAUAAAGUUUGCGUGAUUCCGAAUUCAUUUGAUAUUUUAAAAACAAAAUGGAAAUCAGGCUGCCAAGUUGUGUUGGCAAUUAUUUUGGAAAUGGAAUUUAAGAAAUAGAUUUUCUAUAUUAUUAUCAAAUGUUGUUGAGAAUAUAUAUUGUUGUGACAACUGCUGAAAGAGGCUGAUGAAAUGUUGAGAAAGAAGGAACCCGUAAGGGUGGCUAAGUCCUAUUUUUAAAGGGGAUUAUGUCCAAAUUUUUAUAAAAAUAAGGACUUAACCAAAAUCAAUAUUUAAGACUUAUCUAAUGAUAAUAACUUCAAUGAUUCUUUUAAGAAAAGAUUAUUUGGUAUACGAGAUUAUUGGCAAGGACGUGGGUUUUGUCCCGCUUGCGUAUUUAUGAUUAUAAAAGAGAAUAAAAAGCAGAGGACCUGUUGAAAGGUCAUUUGUUGCUUGAUGCAACCCAAGAGAUAUUGAUUUGUUGCUUGAGGCAACUCCUGAGAUGUUUAUGUGAUGAUCUGCUGCGUGAAGGCAGUCAGAUAGAUGGUGGUACGACCACUGAGAACGCUUUCCUGGGAUACCUUGCUAUAAUGCUUUGCUGUAAGACAGAGGUUGCUUACAGAGGUAUCAAGAUUAGAGUGCUCCUGUAAGACAGAGGUUGCUUACAGUGAGUGUGUUGUUGCACCUGUAAGACAAAGGUUGCUUACAGUGUGUUGGGCGUAUAUUGGCUAAUAAGUGCCGCCCUGCAAGACAAAGGUUGCUUGCAGUGGAUACCCUGCAAGACAAAGGUUGCUCGCAGUGGUUAUUGCCAACAGGAAAGCCUUAUCCAGACAAAGGUUGCUGGGUAACGUCGGGAGCGGGUAUGUAACCGACAAAUGAGCUCAUUACCUGCACUAGGGAUAGACAUGCAUCAUCCUUGUGUGUGCAUUUGCAUUUGAUUGGGUUUGCUCGUUGUACUUCUCUGUGAUUGUGCUGUUUGCCUUGUUGUGACUUGUUUGUGUGCUAAAUUGAAUCUUUUGUUAGUGCUAUUAGUUGGUGAUUGUAUGAUGAUGAUUAAGAAUUGAUGUUGUGAUUGAAAAUUAUCCCUGAGGUUGAAAAAUGUAUAAAGUGACCAGUUUUAUAUUUUGGAAUUUGUUUUGAGCUUAGAUUUUUGGAAAGAGAUAAAUAAUUAGUAAAGUAAAACCAAAAGAAUAGUAUUUUCAAAAAGAGUUUGACAUAAAAAUAUAGUUUCCUUGAGUAUAUUAAUUAUUUGCAUUCUAUUUCAUUAUUUUUACGGCAUUCCCAUUCCCUACUGAGAACGUGUGGUUUGUUCUCACCCCCAAAUUUUCCACCCUUUCAGUGACACAGGUACGAAGAUUCAGUUUAAAGCUGCGGGCGAUUCUCGAAUUUAAUUACGACUUCUAAACGCAGCCCCACCCCCUUUCUUCCCAAACCUAAUGCUGAAACGGAAUCAGACAGGGAGAGAGAGAGGAAAUCAGGGUGUGAUCCAAGCAGCCACCGUUCAGUCGCCAGAGCCGCCGCUGGGGGUUCUCCGCCGUCACUAUCGUCCUCAUCCAUGCGAGCUGCAGCGCUGCGCGGCCCAGCCAUCGUGACCUCCGUGGAGUCCGCGUCGCUGUCGCCUCGGCUGCUUCCACCGCCGCUGGAUCCGUCGCGCGCGCCGUUGUCUGAGGAGCCACCGUCGUCCUUGCUCUUUGCCUCCCUUAGAGCCGUCACCGUCGCCGGAGUUACCACCGCCGCGUGCCACCGCCGCUUCUCACCGCUGAGGGGAAGCUUUGUCUAUGUUGCUGCCUCAGUCGCCGGUGAGUUGUGCACCGCCACCAGUGUCGAAGACAGCGCUAGCUUUGUUCUGAUUUCAAUUCUCUUAUUCUUGAAAUUUCGUUGCUGGUUUACUGUUCGAAAAAGGCAUACUUGAUGCUGGGAUCGUUGUUGUUCUUGCUUCGAAAGAAUUGAUGUCACCGUUGCUGCUGUUUGGCUGAAGCUGAGACCUUUCACCAUCACUAGAGCUGCUCAGAAUCAUCAUGGUAGCUGCUAAGAGAGCAGAACGGAUGUUAGAACUGCCAAUGGAGCUGCUGUGUUUAGUAAUUUCUGCGAGUUUCGACAUUGAGUGACACAGGUACGAAGAUUCAGUUUAAAGCUGCGGGCGAUUCUCGAAUUUAAUUACGAGUUAAGUUUAUGACUUGAGAUUCUUUCAUAGAAUUCCCUCGCCCUUACUGCUUAAGGUUUUCAUUUUGUGCAGAGGGAUAGGAGUUGUACCUGAAUUUUAUUUAAAUUCUUUUGUAUAAUAUUACUAUUAUUAAUAAUUAUGUGAUUAUUAUUACUUGGUGAUGUUUGCUAUAUGAUUUUAAUUAUCAAAAACAAAAAAAUUUCUGGUGUUUUUACUAAAAUUGAAUCGCGAUAUCGAACUAAAGGCUUAAUAGUAAAUAGUUAAUAAGGUAAACAGGUCAGUAACACCUUACUUUUGGCACGAUCAUGACGUAUUGGAAGUUGGGUCGUUACAGGGAAUGUGAAAACUCCCUGGAUCCUUCUUUUUUGUAGGUGGCCCUGUUUGAAUGAGAGCACUUCACUCCCUAUUCAUUAUUAUUGUUUGCCCACCCUUCAGUGAACUCUUUUUGGUCAGUAACUCCUUUAUGUACUUGAUGUAUGAGGGCAUCUGCUGAAGAGUCUUAAUGAACGGUAUAUUCACAUGAAGGGAUGCAAACAUGCCGAGGAACCUUGAAUAUACUCUCCUUGCUACACCACCCUUGAGCCUUUGGAGAAAAGGUGCAUAUGGGUUCAGAGUCUCCUCUUUCUUUUGCUCCUCCCUGUGUGUAGGAUGGGGUGCUUGAUUUCUCUCUUCA